AAUUUUAGCUAAAUCGAAAUUAGGAGACAGACAAGCAAUGCAGUGUAACACAGAAAGUUAUAAGAAUCAGAUAACUUCAAGAGAUAUGAUCAGUUUAGGGAAUGAGCAUGGAUAUGUCUGCCAACAGAUGUACACAGGCUGAUUCCAGAAUUAAGAACAGCACAAUAAUAGAGAACUAUGUUAGUUUGUUGUUUUAAUGAAUUGUUAGUCUGAAC